ensembl:lncRNA
AUGGGAAGAAGUAAAAAGACUGCGAGAAGAGAUCGAGGCGGAUCGGGAUUCUUAGCGCAGAUGAUCACUGUGUUCGUUUUCACUGUUUUAUCGCUCGUCAACACCGGUUCGGCUCAAGAAAGGCUGCUGCUUGGAGAAUCCUCAGCGUCCAAUUAUAGCUGAGGAUCAGAGAAAUGUAAUUUACGGCCCCUGCUCCUCAUGGAGAGGGUAAUUGUGAUCAGGAAAUGGAGAGAGAGAUGAGAGUUAUUACCAGUCAAGGGGCUUUCACUCAGGGCACUUAUGGAGAGGAGAGUGACACCCCUUUUUACAGUUUGAAGUAUAGAGUUCGGUUUUUGGGAGCGGACGACGCCCGGCCGUAAAUGUGCCCGACCGCAUACUGGCCCUGCUGGUGAACGGCGCCAAUCUGAGGCCAUGUAAGAUGCUCAGAAGUAACAUUUUAUUUUAUUUAAGAAGGUCAGAGGUGAAGGCUGCCAUUUUCUGCAGCAUCAAGCCAAACUGGAAAAAAGUAGACAGAAAAAAGGGCUUCAAAACUGCUAAUAAAUUUCACAAAUAAUUUCA